rnacentral:rRNA from 1 species
AGUGAACGCUGGCGGUAGGCCUAACACAUGCAAGUCGAACGGCAGCACAGUAAGAGCUUGCUCUUACGGGUGGCGAGUGGCGGACGGGUGAGGAAUACAUCGGAAUCUACUUUUUCGUGGGGGAUAACGUAGGGAAACUUACGCUAAUACCGCAUACGACCUACGGGUGAAAGCAGGGGAUCUUCGGACCUUGCGCGAUUGAAUGAGCCGAUGUCGGAGUAGCUAGUUGGCGGGGUAAAGGCCCACCAAGGCGACGAUCCGUAGCUGGUCUGAGAGGAUGAUCGGCCACAUUGGAGCUGAGACACGGUCCAGACUCCUGAGGGAGGCAGCAGUGGGGAAUAUUGGACAAUGGGCGGAAGCAUGAUCCAGCCAUACCGCGUGGGUGAAGAAGGCGUUCGGGUUGUAAAGCCCUUUUGUGGGGAAAGAAAAGCAGCAGGUUAAUACCACGCUGUUCUGACGGUACCCAAAGAAUAAGCACCGGCUAACUUCGUG